UACGUAGGGACCGAGCGUUGUCCGGAAUCAUUGGGCGUAAAGCGCGUGUAGGCGGCCAACUAAGUCCUGCGUGAAAUCUCGGGGCUCAACCCCGAGCGGUCGUGGGAAACUGGUUGGCUAGAGUGCGGGAGAGGAGAGUGGAAUUCCUGGUGUAGCGGUGAAAUGCGCAGAUAUCAGGAGGAACACCGAUGGCGAAGGCGGGUCUCUGGGCAUUUCCUGACGCUGAGGCGCGAAAGCGUGGGGAGCAAACGGG
rnacentral:rRNA from 1 species